rnacentral:rRNA from 1 species
UUACCUACGGGGGGCAGCAGUGAGGAAUAUUGGUCAAUGGUCGGGAGACUGAAACAGCCAAGCCGCGUGAGGGAGGAAGGUACAGAGUAUCGUAAACCUCUUUUGUCAGGGAACAAAGGCGGGGACGUGUCCCCGGAUGAGUGUACCUGAAGAAAAAGCAUCGGCUAACUACGUGCCAGCAGCCGCGGUAAUACGGAGGAUGCGAGCGUUAUCCGGAUUUAUUGGGUUUAAAGGGUGCGCAGGCGGUCUGUUAAGUCAGCGGUCAAAGCCCGGGGCUCAAACCCGGCCCGCCGUUUAAACCUGCC